rnacentral:hammerhead_ribozyme from 1 species
AUCCAGCUGACGAGUCCCACUUAGGACGAAAUGUGCAUCCUGGAU